rnacentral:pre_miRNA from 1 species
AAAAAGACAAACCCUGGUUUCCGUGUCCAACGUUUGACCGUUCGUCUUAUUUAAAAAAAUUAUGAAAAAAUUAAAAAGAUAAGUCACGCAUAAAGUAUUAAUCAUGUUUUAUCAUCUAACAACAAUGAAAAUACUAAUUAUAAAAAAAUUUCAUAUAAGACGGACAGUCAAACGUUGGUACGGGAACCAACGGUUUGCCUUUUU